rnacentral:rRNA from 1 species
UACGAGUGCCCCAAGCGUUAUCCGGAAUUACUGGGCGUAAAGCGUGCGUCGGCGGCGUGGUUAGUCCCUCGUUAAAGCUCCCGGCUUAACCGGGAAAGUGCGGGGGAAACGGCCACACUCGAGGAGGCAAGAGGUCUCUGGAACUCAUGGUGUAGGGGUGAAAUCCGUUGAUAUCAUGGGGAACACCAAAGGCGAAGGCAGGAGACUGGUGCUUUACUGACGCUCAAGCACGAAAGCGUGGGGAU